AAAAUUUCAGAUUUUACAUCAAAAAUAAUUUAAGUGCCAAAGAAAAAGAAAAAAACUUUUCACGACUCUUCUCCUCCAUAGCCUUUCGUCUCCAUCGAGUUUUUCUCCGUCUGUUAAUGAAAAAAAAAAUUCCGACGAACACUGAUAGUGAAACUUUCUCUCACUAUAUUCGCGAAGAAGACACCAUCAUCGAAUCGAAUUCAGAUCACGCAAUUCGCCAUGGCCCAUGGAUAACUCAACUACAGCUCUAUUAUCCAGAUCUGAAACCGCAGUAACCUACGAUUCACCUUAUCCACUCUACGCCAUGGCUUUCUCAUCUCUCAACAGUUCCACAGAAUCGUCGUGGGAAACUUCCUCAAAGAUUACAACAACUGAACAACCGAAUCGACAUCCUCUCUUUCGAUCUGAUUCCAUGACUGUGAAGCCUCUCCCGAAUCUCUCGUUCCAGCGUCCUUAUCCUCCUACAAAGCUAAUGUUCAGUCCUCUUCUCUCCGUCGUCCUUCAUCUGGAGAUCUAUUCGCUUCUUCCGGCGAUUUCCUCCGUCUUUGGGAUAUUAACCAAGAUUCUUCCACAGUUGAGCCUAUCUCGGUUCUCAACAACAGGAAAACGAGUUUUUCCAUUGAGCGAUGGGCAAUAGUGAAGAGAUCCUUUUCAUGAUGUAAAGAGCAAAGAAGAGACAAAUAAACCCCUUUAUGAUUCACUCCUUUCAGCUAUGUCUAUGAAUCGCCGAUGCUGGAUGGUUUUUGUGAAGAAAGGGUCUAAGAAGAAGGGAGGCUUGGGCGAGGUUGUUCUAUGUUUCUGCCGCUUUUAUAUGUUGUAGAACCAGUGAUGUUAUCGAGCCCCGGUGGUAUGUUAAUCUCAACAUGAUUGGAAAGGAAGCUCUUGGUGUUGCCACCACUGAUGAAAAAAAGAAGCCCGAGUUUAUACCAAAGCAAUACACAGCAGAAUGAUGGUUAGAGAACAUCCGUGACUCGUGUAUUUCGAGAUAGCUUUGGUGGGGCUACAUAAUACCAGCAUGGUAUACCACUCUAGAGGGAGAUCAGCUCAAGGAAGUUGGUUUGGGUUGUUGCUAGAACCAAGGAAGAAGCUCGAGAAGAGGCUGCUCAGAAAUUUGCUGGGAUGAAGUUUGAACUCACUCAAGAACCUGUACAUGUCAAGUUUGUCUAUAUUCUUUGUGAUGUUAGUUAUAUAUUUUUUAAGACUUUGUGGCACUUUGUUAUGUAAGACUUGUUUUGGUUA